rnacentral:rRNA from 1 species
UACGAGUGGUGCGAGCGUUAUUCGGAAUUAUUGGGCGUAAAGGGCGCGUAGGUGGUGUGCUAAGUCAACUGUUAAAUUCUCCGGCUCAACUGGAGGUCAGCGGUAGAUACUGGCGCGCUAGAGGGUGAGAGAGAGAAGUGGAAUUCUCGGAGUAGCGGUAAAAUGCGUAGAUAUCGAGAGGAACACCAAUGGCGAAGGCAGCUUCUUGGCUCAUCUCUGACACUGAGGCGCGAAAGCGUGGGAGCAAACAGG